UGGUACACAAUUUCGGUUUCGUUGCACAGA
rnacentral:piRNA from 1 species